rnacentral:rRNA from 1 species
ACGAACGCUGGCGGCGUGCUUAACACAUGCAAGUCGAACGGAAAGGCCCUGCUUUUGUGGGGUGCUCGAGUGGCGACCGGGUGAGUAACACGUGAGUAACCUGCCCUUGACUUUGGGAUAACUUCAGGAAACUGGGGCUAAUACCGGAUAGGAGCUCCUGCUGCAUGGUGGUGGUUGGAAAGUUUCGGCGGUUGGGGAUGGACUCGCGGCUUAUCAGCUUGUUGGUGGGGUAGUGGCUUACCAAGGCUUUGACGGGUAGCCGGCCUGAGAGGGUGACCGGCCACAUUGGGACUGAGAUACGGCCCAGACUCCUACGGGAGGCAGAAGUGGGGAAUAUUGCACAAUGGGCGGAAGCCUGAUGCAGCAACGCCGCGUGCGGGAUGACGGCCUUCGGGUUGUAAACCGCUUGCGCAUGUGACGAAGCGUGAGUGACGGUAAUGGGUAAAGAAGCACCGGCUAACUACGUG